CCUACGGGAGGCAGCAGUGGGGAAUAUUGGGCAAUGGAGGAAACUCUGACCCAGCGACGCCGCGUGCGGGAUGAAGGCCUUCGGGUUGUAAACCGCUUUCAGCAGGGAAGAAGCGAAAGUGACGGUACCUGCAGAAGAAGCACCGGCUAACUAUGUGCCAGCAGCCGCGGUAAUACAUAGGGUGCAAGCGUUGUCCGGAAUUAUUGGGCGUAAAGAGCUCGUAGGUGGUUCGUCACGUCGGAUGUGAAAAUCUGGGGCUUAACCCCAGACCUGCAUUCGAUACGGGCGAGCCUGAGUAUGGUAGGGGAGUCUGGAAUUCCUGGUGUAGCGGUGGAAUGCGCAGAUAUCAGGAGGAACACCAAUGGCGAAGGCAGGACUCUGGGCCAUUACUGACACUGAGGAGCGAAAGCGUGGGGAGCGAACAGGAUUAGAUACCCUGGUAGUCCACGCCGUAAACGGUGGGCACUAGUUGUGGGGACCUUCCACGGUCUCUGCGACGCNGCUACGACAUAGUGCCCGCCGUCGGGAGGUACGAGUCGCGAAGAAGUUAAACGUAACGUAAAGUUAAAGUUAGUACGGCGUUGAGACGNGCCGACGGACGACGACGAGGGAGGAGG
rnacentral:rRNA from 1 species